AAGUAAGAUUUAAGGGUUAUUUUAAGCUUGAAAUAAGGGUUAUUUGGAGCAUCAAAGCCACGAAAUUUCUGCCAUAUUUUCUUCAUCAAAACCGUGCUCUUCAAGGGGAUAGUCUUGGCUUUGAAAUGUGAUUGAGAAAUGUGACGAAUGUAUGCUGGAGCGAUUGAUGGGAAGUACCCAUUUUGGAUAAGUGAAUAUAAUAUGCGGCAUAUCAAGGAAAUAAACUUAAGCAUUGAGGAUU